UCCAUUGGCAUGGGAGCAAAGUUUACUCCCAGGAGAAUUCUGUGCCACUGUGCACACACAGAAUUAAUUUCCCCUGCAGAUUUUUUUUUCUCUGCAGAAUAUAGAUUCUGCUGGAGAGGUGCUGCAAUUACACUUUUUGCCCCACCAGGUGCUGCUGUGAUGCCAGAAGAGAGGGCAGCCAGCCAGAGAGGCUGCAUUCCUCACAGCAGGGCCCGGU